CACAGUUCUACCCUAUAGCUAUGUUUGUGCCACUACCACCUCCUGCCUCAAAGAAACUCUUGCCAGGGUGAUUUACCAAGGAUAAAGAUGUCUAAUUUAAGUUGGACCAACCCAAUUCUCUUUCUUGGAAAUUUGAAACUAGAAGAGAGCCACAUGGAGAAUGAAGGUCUUAUUUCAACUGUUGUUCAGGAAUGAUCCAAACAAAUUCAGAAGCAGAUUUAAAUGUUAUAGGAAAACACCAGUGUCUAGAUCCCAGAUCGCCAACUCCCAAGCCACAGACUGGUACCAGUCCAUGGCCUGGUAGGAACUGGGCCACACAGCAGGAGGUGAGUGACAGAAAAGAGACACAGUGACAGACAUGGGGGAG
rnacentral:lncRNA from 1 species